UACGUAGGUGGCAAGCGUUGUCCGGAUUUAUUGGGUUUAAAGGGUGCGUAGGUGGCCCUGUAAGUCAGUGGUGAAAUAUCUCAGCUUAACUGAGAGGGUGCCAUUGAUACUGCAGGGCUUGAGUACAGAUGAGGUAGGCGGAAUUGACGGUGUAGCGGUGAAAUGCAUAGAUAUCGUCAAGAACACCGAUAGCGAAGGCAGCUUACCAAGCUGUAACUGACACUGAGGCACGAAAGUGUGGGGAUCAAACAGGAUUAGAUACCCUGGUAGUCCACACUGUAAACGUUGAUGACUCGAUGUUGGCGAUACACAGCCAGCGUCCAAGAGCAAUCGUUAAGUCAUCCACCUGGGGAGUACGCCGGCAACGGUGAA
rnacentral:rRNA from 1 species